AUAUGUUGGCCAUUUGGUGAUUAACUUAAUGUUAGUUUGUUAUUCUGUGCGAACCCGUUUUAAAAAGAUCUCUGUGUUAUCAUAUGUUAUAUCUUCAUCGCAUAUUUUAUAUAUUCUUGAUUGAUUACUGUAAUUACUUGCUUCUAUUUGGGUGUUCUUAACCUUAGCCUUGGUGAGUACAUAGAGCAGGUAUGGUAUGCGUUUCAGGUUUGAGACACGAGGUAAGGUCUUCGAUAGCAAUUUUAUUGGUUAUCUUAAUUGUGCAAGUAUUAACUUUGUAAUUUGAUUGAUUGCAGGUUGAUUGGGUAUAAAGAUGGAGAUCUGUUAGGUUUUGGCAUCUAAUAAAUCCCAGAUAAUGAAUAAUGAUGUUAAAAUGGUGUUGGCUAAUUUAUAUCAACACCUCAGUGAUGGGUCGACCCGAAAUAGCUUGAGGCCACUAGAAGCAAUUUAAUUAAGUUAAUAUUGCUCGUGGCCCAGCACUCGUGGAUGUUCCAAGUAUUGUUUGGCUUUUGAAUUGAUGGUCCAUUACCUUUUGGUCCAAUUAUCAACCUAAACCAAUCCAUGACGUAUACAUCCUUCAGUAGUUAUUUUUGUGUGUGUUGGAGCUUUGCAUUGAGAGAAAAAUGGUUUCUUUUCAAGUUCCAGUUGCCAUCUUUAUUUCUAUUCUUCCUUUGUGCGUGCAAACUAAUCAUCAUUGUUCUCCUUUGUGAGAAUGAAAUAGUAUGCAGCAACC
rnacentral:lncRNA from 1 species